rnacentral:rRNA from 1 species
UAGGGAAUCUUCGGCAAUGGACGAAAGUCUGACCGAGCAACGCCGCGUGAGUGAAGAAGGUUUUCGGAUCGUAAAACUCUGUUGUUAGAGAAGAACAAGGACGUUAGUAACUGAACGUCCCCUGACGGUAUCUAACCAGAAAGCCACGGCUAACUACGUGCCAGCAGCCGCGGUAAUACGUAGGUGGCAAGCGUUGUCCGGAUUUAUUGGGCGUAAAGCGAGCGCAGGCGGGUUCUUAAGUCUGAUGUGAAAGCCCCCGGCUCAACCGGGGAGGGUCAUUGGAAACUGGGAGACUUGAAUGCAGAAGAGGAGAGUGGAAUUCCAUGUGUAGCGGUGAAAUGCGUAGAUAUAUGGAGGAACACCAGUGGCGAAGGCGGCUCUCUGGUCUGUAACUGACGCUGAGGCUCGAAAGCGUGGGGAGCAAACAGG